AUGUUGCAUGCGGCAGGUAAUGUCGCCAGUAAUAGUAAUGACAAAACAAAUCUAACAGAUAGUUGUCAGUGUUUAAUGCCUUUCUUCUUUUCUUUCAGCGGGGAGUCUGCCGGUUAUAUUGCUUACUACGCUGACAACUUCAAUGGUACAUGUCUGGAGCACGACGUGCCACAGGAUGGUAUGCCGGCCAGGAGGAGGAGGAUGUUGUACGAGACUAUGGCGGCCAAAGGGAAUUCUACUCCUAGUCCAGGAAUCAUGGAGCAAGCGACAAUGGAAGAGUAG
rnacentral:rRNA from 1 species